rnacentral:rRNA from 1 species
UUAAACCCAAAGAAUUUGGCGGUACUCUUCAUUCCGUUCAGAGGAACCUACCCCGUAAUUGAUANUACACGAUUAACUUUACUUAAUUUAUUUGUUUGUAUAUCUCCGUUAUCAGAAAAUCUUUUUAGAGUUUAAAUUUUCAUGAUUUAUAACUAUAAAGUAUUUCAGGUCAAGGUGCAGUUUAUAAUUAAGAGGUGGUGGGUUACAAUAAAUUUUUAUUUAUUACGGCUAUUUUAAUGAAAUAUUANAAAUUAAGGUGGAUUUGAUAGUAAAUUAAUUUAUUUAAUUUAAUUGAUAUUGGCUCUAAGGUGUGUACACAUC